UCCAGUAAUCAAAGCAGACGAUCGAUUCGUUGUUCACAACCCCGAUUCUUACACUAGGCGGGUCAACAUAAUAAGCAUGAAUUGAUGACGUCACAUAGACUUAUCAACAACGAGCGUCUAUAAAAUGACGCGUCCUGCAAACUUUGAUUCUUGCAGUUAAAACUCUUCCCGGGAUUCCACAACUCCUGUUUGAUACGAAACGUAACGAGAACUUCGCCUUAAAGGCAUAAAAGAAACAUCUGAAAUGGAAAAAUCAGUUGUAACGUCAUUAUGCCUUCUCCUUGUCGCCGUAGUUUUCAUCCAUUGCGCUGUUGGCAUGGGUGAUUCGAAACAAGCCAGUUUUGGUGAUGCUCCGGCAGAUCGAAAAUAUCAGGACUGGUAUGAGUGGCUAGUUAAAAGAAAUUUCGGUGGAAUGAAUAAGGGAUUCGGCGUACAGGAGAAUGGAAAAUUUUUGGACUGGGAGAAUAUGUUAAAAAAUGGAAUAUCUAAGAGGCAGUUGAGCGUUUCACCAGAUCGCUUUGGGAGUUAUGGCGGUUAUUUCAGCAAUGGGCUACAGGAUUGGAGGCGUGCUUUCACUGGAUCAAAAAGACAGGGGGCGACCAAAACACGAAAAUAGACAUUGUAGGCAUUUUGGACAUUGGGUGAUACGAUAUGUCACUUUAUAUACAUCAAUUGGUUUCCGGUAUUUAUUUAAUAACUCUAUUUAAUGCAGUGGUUUUAAUUUCAUUCUCUAUGUAGUUGUUUAAUUUCAUUGCACUAUGCAGUUGUUUAAUUUCAUUUCUAAGUAUACUGUACUGUUUUAUUUCUUUGCUCUAAAUAUUAUUUUAUUGAUGAGGGUAUAGAUACCCCCACCCCCUCUAUGUCGUUAUUCACAAGAAUUGCAUUCACUGUAACUAUAAGCCCCGUUUAGUCAGUUCUUUAAGGUGACCAGUUCUUUGUCUUUUUGUUAACUGCUAAAAUUCUUGAUUGUACAAAUUGAUAUAAUAACUCUUGCAAAUUAUUCAUUAUGCUCAACGUCAAAAUUUCACAAACAAAGUGUAUGUUUUCGCAAUAAAAACUAUAAAACUAAAAAAAAAAAAAAAA